GAGGCCUAACACAUGCAAGUCGAACGGGAUUCAGUAGCUUGCUACUGAUGAGAGUGGCGCACGGGUGAGUAACGCGUAUGCAACCUACCUCUUACAGGGGGAUAGCCCGGAGAAAUCCGGAUUAAUAUCCCAUGGUAUUUAUUGUCCGCAUGGAUAGUAAAUUAAAGAUUUAUCGGUAAGAGAUGGGCAUGCGUGACAUUAGUUUGUUGGUGAGGUAACGGCUCACCAAGACUACGAUGUCUAGGGGUUCUGAGAGGAUGAUCCCCCACACUGGUACUGAGACACGGACCAGACUCCUACGGGAGGCAGCAGUGAGGAAUAUUGGUCAAUGGGCGCAAGCCUGAACCAGCCAUCCCGCGUGAAGGAAGACGGCCCUAUGGGUUGUAAACUUCUUUUCUGCACCAAGAAUGGGCCUUACGUGUAAGGUUUUGACGGUAGUGCAGGAAUAAGCAUCGGCUAACUCCGUGCCAGCAGCCGCGGUAAUACGGAGGAUGCAAGCGUUAUCCGGAUUCAUUGGGUUUAAAGGGUGCGUAGGCGGAUAGGUAAGUCAGUGGUGAAAUCCUACAGCUCAACUGUAGAACUGCCAUUGAUACUGUCUAUCUUGAGUGUAAAUGAAGUGGGCGGAAUGUAGCAUGUAGCGGUGAAAUGCAUAGAUAUGCUACAGAACACCAAUUGCGAAGGCAGCUCACUAACAUACAACUGACGCUCAUGCACGAAAGCGUGGGGAUCAAACAGGAUUAGAUACCCUGGUAGUCCACGCUGUAAACGAUGAUUACUCGUUGUUGGCGAUACACAGUCAGCGACCAAGCGAAAGUGAUAAGUAAUCCACCUGGGGAGUACGAUCGCAAGGUUGAAACUCAAAGGAAUUGACGGGGGCCCGCACAAGCGGUGGAGCAUGUGGUUUAAUUCGAUGAUACGCGAGGAACCUUACCUGGGCUCAAAUGUAUGUUGACGUAGU
rnacentral:rRNA from 1 species